UGACGUGGUUAAGACAUGCAAGUCGAACGGUUUUUAUUGAAGCGCAAGCAGAUAUAAAAGCAGUGGCGAGCGGGUGCGUAACACGUGAACAAUCUACCUUCAAAUGGGGAAUAGCUCGCCGAAAGGCGAAUUAAUACCGCAUGUGGUUGCUUCUCGCAUGAAAGGCAUACCAAAGUCAGGGACCGCAAGGCCUGACGUUAGAAGAGGAGUUCGCGGCCUAUCAGCUAGUUGGCGAGGUAACGGCUCACCAAGGCUAAGACGGGUAGCUGGUCUGAGAGGAUGAUCAGCCACACUGGAACUGAGACACGGUCCAGACACCUACGGGUGCCAGC
rnacentral:rRNA from 1 species